GAGUUUCUGAAUAUAAAAUAGAAAUGCUACUGAAGAUGAUAACUUAAACCUUAUACAUUGAGCCUUUUAUCCUGUUCUAACUUCUUAACAUGGUUAAUAUUCUUUUAGACUAUUUAAUGCUUUACUAUUUAAAAUUGUUUAAACCUGUUUAUACUGAUUUUAUGUGCUCAUCACUUCAAGAUCUUACGAUAUAGAGAUGUUGUAAUAAUUAUGUUAAUUAUAUCUUGGGAACUGUGGGAUAGAAGAUACACCUUUAUAUGUUUCUGGAAGCUGAGUUGCUCUUUUCAUUAUUGAUAAGAAAAGCACCCUCUGUAUCAGGAUUUGAAAAAUCAGAAUGCAGAAUCCGAGCUUGGUCAUGGUUACGUUCAUAGUGAAAGUUAAUUGAUCAAACCAGAGUAUAACUGGCCAAUGCAUUUUUCCCUUUCUAAUUCUUGUUCAACCAUUGUCUGUUUUACUGUAAAAUGACAUCUUACAAUUUAUUCACAUUGAUGGCUUGCAACAUAAAAUCUCUGCUGACUUUUCAGGUCACCACUUUCUUCUAUGGUCUUUGGAACAAACGCCCUGUUUACAAAACCAGCCCAGUCUUUAGCUCCUAUGCUUGUGGUUACAAUACUAAAUCAGUUUGGAUACGCACAACUGAAUAACAAAACCAUUCAGCCUGACCCACUUUUGUUUCUAGGUCUCCCUGAUGCCAUGUUCUAUAUGAUUUGCCUAAUUCCUCUCUGCAUUGCAGUCAUACAGAUUUUGAUAUGGACACCUUUUUCUAUCCAAAAUAGCCACCUAAUGCACUAAAUUGUAAACAUGGCCUUCGAGGGACCAGGCACUGAAUUUCACACAAUAGCCAAUGACAGCUGUGAACUCAAACAUUGGACUUCUUUGUAUCUUUGGACAUAUAGAUCAAAUGCAACCUGAGCCAUUUAUUGGUUAAUUGUUAGCCCUGGAAAUUCUAUCACUGAUUAUCAUGACAUGAAGUAAGUAUCUCUUUCUAGCUGAGUAACUGAAGAUGUUCAGGGUCUCCAAAAGACUUGAGGAAGACACUAAAAUGCUGCUAUGUCAUAUUAAAGUUAGUGGUAAACUGGACUUCUGUGAGCUACCUCCAUAUCCUCAAAUUGGAUUCCUUUUAGAGUAUGUAAAGGCCCACAAUAACCUCAAAAGGGUGCAUUUGAAUAUUCUGAAAAUCUGGAAUGUUACUUCCACAUGUGCAAAUUAGAUGUCAUCCCCCCCCCAGGAAAUAUAGAAAAAUCUAUUACAUUUCUCUCUUCCUAACAUCCAGUAUGAAAAACUCGAUAUGAUUUUCCUAAAUAAGAUACUUUGCAGGGAAGAAUUAAUGGCUGUAACCAUUUAAAGCAGAUGAGUAGAAGUUAUAAGAACUGUUUAGUAAAAAAACAAAAAUCAAGGGGAAACGUAAUUGAAGGGGAAUGAAGGUAGAUGCUUUGUGGAGGGCACAGACAUCAAUAUAUGUAUUUAGUAGGGGUUAUAUUAGAAACACUGCCAUUUGUCACAUUGUAAAAGAGGAAGUGGUAGGAAAAAGAAGCAGGUUAGUAAGUAGGAAAUCUGGGUGGAGAGCAGGCAUGUUAUUGCCUGAGACAAAGCAGACACUUCCACCAAGCCUGAAUCUUUUCAUAGAUAAUUCAUAAUGAAAGAAAAAGGGGUUUUGUUCUUCCUAAACAUGUUGCAAUAAAUUUGGAAAAUCCAACAUUUUGGGAAUUUUGGACUGUAAGACUACAAUAGUAGUCGUCGUUGCUGUUAUCAUGUGGCUUCAAGGCAACCCCAUGACUUCCAACAGCAUUUCCUUACAUAAGGAAUAUGUAUUUAUAAUGUACACACACACACAUGCACAUUUAGUAAUUAGAAGGUUUUGGACUUUUUGGAUAGUUUUAUCAAUGCAAAUAGGGAUAUAAUGUAUCAUUCUAGUGCUUUGGUGGUCCAACUGGAUUGCCUGACCAGUUUUAUUUAUAUUAUUUCUAAUAACUGAGAACUGUCCUUUGAAUUUGACUAUUAAAGACAUUUAUAAUUUUCAUCUUCUAGAUGGAAAUCACGCCUAAUGAAAAGGUAAUGCUACUUGAUAUGUCAUAAAGCCUAAAUUAUGAUUUGAUAAGUACUACCAUCCUUAUCUUAGCCCUGUAAUUUAUAUAUAGAAUCAUUUUACGCUGUAUAGUAGAGUAAAUGUCUAGACCAUUUAGCUGAAUUUUAAUACAACAUGGGAAGAAGAAAAUGACUUCUUAGAAAACUUGUUCACAAUGAGAUUUGGACUUUAUUUUGUUAUACAGCUUAACUCCAAUGGGAUUGCUUCUAAGUAGAUAGAUUAUUAAAUCCUAUAAGGACAACACUCCAUUACAGUCUAUAGACUCAACAAGUUCAUGUUAACAAAUGCUAGAUGAAUUAAAAAUCAAUUAGGUCAAAUCAAGCAGAACGUAUUUCAGACAUUUUUCCUAGUUAAGAAGUUUGUAGUUCUCUAAUCUCGACCAACAAAAAUUUGGAACGAGAUUCUAGCCCUCUAUGAGAUGGAAUAAAUCAUGUUAACAUUUUCCCUCAUGUCCCUGAUUGCUUAGUAAAAUGAAAUAAUUGACUAUUGAACAUGUAUUAAAGGAGAUCUGAUAGAAAAUGCCUACAUUAAAUUUAAAAUGUUGCCUUUAAACACUAAAAGUCAUAGAUCUGAGCAGCAUCUUUCAACCUAGGUUUAUAUGCACUGGACUAAACUGUUCAUAAAGCAAAAGUGCAUUUUAUUACAAUUAAUAAUGAUGGUACACAUGCCUGAUUAUGUUUAAAUGCAGUAAUAUGCCAAAUUUAUUUAUAUUUUUAUUUAUUUGUACUAAUGUUUCUGGUACCUUUCAUUUAUAUAUUAGAACAAAUUUAUAUUAAUGGCAUGCAUAAGGAAUGGAUUUUCAAGUUCAGAUUUUUUUUGUCCUGCACAUUUGUGGCAAUUAUUGUGGUGUUUUAUUUUGCACAGCUAACCAGCAGCAUCUCCUGCUCAUGCCCCAUUGAAGUGAGUAGGAGUUGUACAAGUUUGCUUGUGUUCUUUUAAAACAGUUUAACUUAUAAAUUAUGGAAAUCACUUUGGGAUUUUGUUCCAUUAAGAAUGUUUACUUGAAAAUGGAGUGAAGAUUUUAUUGUGUCUAAGUCUGUACAAAAUAUUUCUGUAUGGGAUUCUGAUUUGUUAAUAAAUAGGAGUAAUAUGUUCUAACCUCUUUUAGUGUUCCUAUUUUCCUUCCUAGUUUUCAGUGUUCAGAAUUAGAAACAAAUAAGUU
rnacentral:lncRNA from 11 species